AUUGAACGCUGGCGGCAUGCCUUACACAUGCAAGUCGAACGGCAGCACGGGAGCUUGCUCCUGGUGGCGAGUGGCGAACGGGUGAGUAAUACAUCGGAACGUACCCAGCAGUGGGGGAUAACGCACCGAAAGGUGCGCUAAUACCGCAUACGACCUACGGGUGAAAGCGGGGGACCGUAAGGCCUCGCGCUAUUGGAGCGGCCGAUGUCUGAUUAGCUAGUUGGUGAGGUAAAGGCUCACCAAGGCUUCGAUCAGUAGCUGGUCUGAGAGGACAGUCAGCCACACUGGGACUGGGACACGGCCCAGACUCCUACGGGAGGCAGCAGUGGGGAAUUUUGGACAAUGGGCGAAAGCCUGAUCCAGCAAUGCCGCGUGCGCGAAGAAGGCCUUCGGGUUGUAAAGCACUUUUGUCAGGGAAGAAAUCUUUUAGGCUAAUACCCUGGAAGGAUGACGGUACCUGAAGAAUAAGCACCGGCUAACUACGUGCCAGCCGCCGCCGUAA
rnacentral:rRNA from 1 species